AUUAGGAAAUAAUACUUCAUUUUUCAAAAAAUGCUAACGAUCAUCUGAGUCUUCAGUCAGUCAUAAUCUUUUUGCUAGUAGAGGGUCUUGCCUCAUUGCAGAUUGCUGCUGACUGAUCAGGGUAGUGGUGGCUAAAGAUUGGGGUGGCUGUUGCCAUUUCUUAAAAUAAAGCAAUGAAGGUUGCCACAUUGGCUUUUACUUUCAUGAAAGGUUUCUCUGAAGCGUGUGAUGCUCUUUGGUAGCAUUUCACCCAGAGUGAAACUUCUUUCAGAAUUGAAGUCAGUCCUCUCAAACCCUGCCACUGCUUUCUCAAUCGUGUUUAUGUAGUACUCUAAAUCCUUUGUUGUCAUUUCAGCAGUGUUUACAGAUUUCAUCUCAGGAAACCACUUUCUUUUCUCAUCCAUUGAAGUAGCUCCUUAUCCAUUCAAGCCUUAUCAUGAGAUUGGAGCAAUUUAGUCACAUCUUCAAGCACCAGUUUAAUUCUGGUUCUCUUGCUCUUUCCAGCACAUCUGCAGGGACUUCCUCCACUGAAGCCUUGAAUCCCUCAAAGUCAUCCAUGAGGACUGGAAUCUGCUUCUUCUAGACUCCUGUUAAUGUUGCUAUUGUGACCUCCUUUCAUCAAUCAUGAAUACUUUUAAUGGCAUUUAGAAUGGUGAAUCCUUUCAAGAAGGCUUUCAAUUUACUUUGCCCAGUUCCAUCAGAGGAAUCAAUAUCUAGGACAGCUAUCACCUUAUGAAAUGAAUUUCUUAAAUAGUAAGGCUUGAAAGUCAAAAUAUUCCAUUAGAGCUCUUGGAUGACAAGAUUUAUUGUCAAUGAGCAGUGAUACUUUAAAGGAAGUUUUUUUUUUUCUGAGUAGUGACUCUCAACAGUGGGCUUAAAAUAUUCAGUAAACCGG